rnacentral:rRNA from 1 species
UAACACGUAGGGAACCUGCCCAUGCGGCCGGGACAACUUCCGGAAACGGAUGCUGAUACCGGAUAAGGAAAGCGAAGGCAUCUUUGCUUUGUUAAAGGAGCUGCAAGGCUCCGCGCACGGAUGGACCUGCGGUGCAUUAGCUGGUUGGUGAGGUAAAGGCUCACCAAGGCGACGAUGCAUAGCCGGCCUGAGAGGGCGAACGGCCACACUGGGACUGAGACACGGCCCAGACUCCUACGGGAGGCAGCAG